AUGGUCUAUACAGAGUAUUGGCCAAAAUCCACCCAUCAGGGUCGGUUUAGUACAGAGUGCUGGCCAACAUCCACCAAUCAGGGACGUCUAGUACAGAGGCUGGCCAACAUCCACCAAUCAGGGUCGGUCUGGUUCAGAGUGCUGGCCAACAUCCACCAAUCAGGGACAGUCCAGUUCAUCAGGGUCAGUCUAGUACAGAGUGCAGGCCAACAUCCACCAAUCAGGGACGGUCUAGUACAGAGUGCUGGCCAACAUCCAUCCAUCAGGGACGGUCUUGUUCAUCAGGGUCGGUCUUGUGCAUCAGGGUCGGUCUUGUUCAUCAGGGUCGGUCUUGUUCAUCAGG
rnacentral:lncRNA from 1 species